rnacentral:rRNA from 1 species
GUAGGAGGCAAGCGUUAUCCGGAUUUACUGGGCGUAAAGCGCGCGCAGGCGGUUCCGUAAGUUGGACGUGAAAUCUCCCGGCUCAACCGGGAGGGGUCGUCCAAUACUGCGGGACUUGAGGUCGGGAGAGGGAAGUGGAAUUCCCGGUGUAGUGGUGGAAUGCGUAGAUAUCGGGAGGAACACCAGUGGCGAAGGCGGCUUCCUGGACCGCACCUGACGCUAAGGCGCGAAAGCGUGGGGAGCGAACGGGAUUAGAUACCCCGGUAGUCCACGCCGUAAACGAUGGGUACUAGGUGUUGGUGGUAUUGGCCCCAUCAGUGCCCGGAGCUAACGCGAUAAGUACCCCGCCUGGGGACUACGAGCGCAAGCUUA